GUGGGUGUCUCUGAGCCAGGCUGGCGCUCGUGCGCGCUGGGCUCCGCGCUCAGUCGCUGGGGUGGGAGGCCAGGGGAAGCCGCCGCUGCAGGCCGAGCCGCGAGAUUUGCAGUGCAGGAGCCGAAGCGGCGGGCAUGGUGGGAGGUCCUUGGAAGCUGCUGCGGGGAACUGAAACGGCUCUGAUAGGCAGGCACAAAGACUUCUCUAGGACCCCCUACAAUGCUUUACGUUUGCCUCGUGCUUUAGAUUUCACAAAGUGCUUACACAUAACACGACCCUCCUCACUCGACCUGGUGAGAUGGGUAGCAUUUUGUGGAAGAUUCCGAGACUCAAGUUUGAGAGACUCACCCAAGGUCAGAGUUGGCGAGUGGGCGGUCCGUGGACAGGUGCGCAGGUCUCAGCGCCAUUUGGCCCGCGCUGCUGCUUCCUGUGUGUACUGGAUGUUCUCUAGGCUCGCCCAGCGUGGAAGCCCCGAGUUACCAGCCGCAACGUGGAAACCACAGAAGGGGAAAUAGAUGACUUUUGAGAGGAGGUCUUGCUGUGUUUCCCAGGCUGGUCUCAAACUACUAGGCCCAAGCAGUCUUCCUGCCUCAGCCUCCCAAAGUGCUGAAAUUACAGGUGUGAGCCAACACACCCAGGAACAAGUCCAACCCCACAAAAGUGGAGCUUAAUUCCUAGGAAAAUGAAAGAAUUAUACUUUCUGUGGUCAGCAUUGUGCUGGCUGGCAUACAUUAAACAUGUCAGACCUCCAUAAGAUACCAGUGGUGAGAGGAUGAGCUAGAACAUUCACCUUUUGACAUCUCGGUCACUACCUUAUUGUUUUAAAAUAAUCAGCAAUUCCAAGUUUCAAGUGAUUUGUAAAAUUCUAGCGGCUAUGCUUUAUUGAUUAUUUUUUAAAUUAAAUUGUUCAAAUUUAUGUUUCAAAUGAGCAGAUCAUUCUAAGAAU
rnacentral:lncRNA from 1 species